AAUAUUUUUAUGUCUGGUGAGAGUCAAAUCUUUUUCUUAUUAUUUUUUUCUAAUGUGAGUCUGAUCUGGGGGAGGAGCCUCACUCUGACAUGUCCCGCCCAAACUUUACAAUCCUUUAGUCUGUUUCCUGUGUGUGUGAGAAACAUUCUUCAUAUGCCUACAGGACUGUUAAGGUGUACUGUAACCUGGAGUGUAACUCAAGACAUCAGGAAAAGGUG